rnacentral:snRNA from 1 species
GGAUGUGAGGGCGAUCUGGCUGCAACAUCUGUCACCCCAUUGAUCGCCACUGUUGAUUUGGCUGAUCUGGCUGGUAUCCCCUUCCUCCCUCAGCACUCCAUGUGUGUGCCUCCCAAAGCCGUGCGCUCGGUCGAAGAGGACGACCAUCCCUGAUGGUCUUCGGUCAAGGGUGUAGGAGUAGCUGUGCUCCCCUGCUAGAACCUCCAAACAGCUCUCAAGAAAAAUGUUUCUACAGUCCAGAGUCUUUUAUUUUCUUGCAUCCAUAAGCCUUGCAUUCAUGGGGACUAGGUUCCAACAGCU